rnacentral:rRNA from 1 species
GAUGAACGCUGGCGGCGUGCCUAACACAUGCAAGUCGAACGGAGAUUACGGACGGAAGUUUUCGGAUGGAAGACUGUAAUUCUUAGUGACGGACGGGUGAGUAACGCGUGGGCAACCUGCCCUAUACAGGGGGAUAGCAGCUGGAAACGGCUGGUAAGACCGCAUAAGUCGGCGAGACCGCAUGGUUUUGCCGGGAAAUGAGCAAUCAGGUAUAGGAUGGGCCCGCGUCCGAUUAGCCAGUUGGCAGGGUAAAAGCCUACCAAAGCAACGAUCGGUAGCCGGACUGAGAGGUCGGACGGCCACAUUGGGACUGAGACACGGCCCAAACUCCUACGGGAGGCAGCAGUGGGGGAUAUUGCACAAUGGAGGAAACUCUGAUGCAGCGACGCCGCGUGAGUGAAGAAGUAUUUCGGUAUGUAAAGCUCUAUCAGCAGGGAAGAUGAUGACGGUACCUGACUAAGAAGCCCCGGCUAACUACGUG